rnacentral:rRNA from 1 species
ACAGGGAGAUAGCCCAUGGAAACGUGGAUUAAUACCCCAUUGUACAGUAAUAUCGCCUGUUAUAACUGUUAAAACUUCGGUGGUAUAAGAUGGGCAUGCGUAGGAUUAGCUAGUAGGUAGUGUAACGGACUACCUAGGCAACGAUCCUUAGGGGUUCUGAGAGGAUUAUCCCCCACACUGGUACUGAGACACGGACCAGACUCCUACGGGAGGCAGCAGUGAGGAAUAUUGGUCAAUGGGCGCGAGCCUGAACCAGCCAUCCCGCGUGCAGGAUGACGGCCCUAUGGGUUGUAAACUGCUUUUUUGCGCCAAGAAACCCUGUUACGUCUAACAGGCUGACGGUAGCGUAAGAAUAAGCAUCGGCUAACUCCGUGCCAGCAGCCGCGGUAAUACGGAGGAUGCAAGCGUUAUCCGGAUUCAUUGGGUUUAAAGGGUGCGCAGGUGGGAAUGUAAGUCAGUGGUGAAAUUCUGCCGCUUAACGGUAGAACUGCCAUUGAUACUGCGUUUCUUGAGUAUGGUUGAGGUAGGCGGAAUGUGUUGUGUAGCGGUGAAAUGCAUGGAUAUGACACAGAACGCCGAUUGCGAAGGCAGCUUACUAAGCCAUUACUGACACUGAGGCACGAAAGCGUGGGGACGAACAGGAUUAUAUACCCUGGUAGUCCACGCCGUAAACGAUGUUCACUCGCUGUUUGCGAUACACAGCAAGCGGCUGAGCGAAAGCAUUAAGUGAACCACCUGGGGAGUACGAUCGCAAGGUUGAAACUCAAAGGAAUUGACGGGGGCCCGCACAAGCGGAGGAACAUGUGGUUUAAUUCGAUGAUACGCGAGGAACCUUACCUGGGCUUAAAUGUAGAUUGCAUAAUUUAGAAAUAGAUUUUCCCUUCGGGGCUAUUUACAAGGUGCUGCAUGGUUGUCGUCAGCUCGUGCCGUGAGGUGUCGGGUUAAGUCCCAUAACGAGCGCAACCCCUAUCGUUAGUUGCCAGCGGAUAAUGCCGGGGACUCUAGCGAGACUGCCACCGUAAGGUGAGAGGAAGGUGGGGAUGACGUCAAAUCAGUACGGCCCUUAUGUCCAGGGCUACACACGUGUUACAAUGGCAGGUACAAAGGGCAGCUACCGGGUGACCGGAUGCUAAUCUCUAAAGCCUGUCCCAGUUCGGAUUGGAGUCUGCAACCCGACUCCAUGAAGUUGGAUUCGCUAGUAAUCGGAUAUCAGCCAUGAUCCGGUGAAUACGUUCCCGGGCCUUGUACACACCGCCCGUCAAACCAUGGAAGCUGGGGGUGCCUGAAGUCUGCAACCGUAAGGAGCGGCCUAGGGUAAAACUAGUAACUAGGGUUAAGUCGGAACAAGGUA